rnacentral:rRNA from 4 species
UGGUGGGUAGUUUGACUGGGGCGGUCUCCUCCUAAAGAGUAACGGAGGAGCACGAAGGUUGGCUAAUCCUGGUCGGACAUCAGGAGGUUAGUGCAAUGGCAUAAGCCAGCUUGACUGCGAGCGUGACGGCGCGAGCAGGUGCGAAAGCAGGUCAUAGUGAUCCGGUGGUUCUGAAUGGAAGGGCCAUCGCUCAACGGAUAAAAGGUACUCCGGGGAUAACAGGCUGAUACCGCCCAAGAGUUCAUAUCGACGGCGGUGUUUGGCACCUCGAUGUCGGCUCAUCACAUCCUGGGGCUGAAGUAGGUCCCAAGGGUAUGGCUGUUCGCCAUUUAAAGUGGUACGCGAGCUGGGUUUAGAACGUCGUGAGACAGUUCGGUCCCUAUCUGCCGUGGGCGCUGGAGAACUGAGGGGGGCUGCUCCUAGUACGAGAGGACCGGAGUGGACGCAUCACUGGUGUUCGGGUUGUCAUGCCAAUGGCACUGCCCGGUAGCUAAAUGCGGAAGAGAUAAGUGCUGAAAGCAUCUAAGCACGAAACUUGCCCCGAGAUGAGUUCUCCCUGAGACUUAGAGUCUCCUGAAGGAACGUUGAAGACGACGACGUUGAUAGGCCGGGUGUGUAAGCG